GAAGGUAUAGCUCAAGUGGUAGAGCGUAUGCUUAGUAUGCAUGAGGUCCUGGGUUCAAGCCCCAGUGUCUCCU
rnacentral:tRNA from 1 species